UACGAAGGGGGCUAGCGUUGUUCGGAAUUACUGGGCGUAAAGCGCACGCAGGCGGUGCGGUCAGUCAGAAGUGAAAGCCCCGGGCUUAACCUGGGAACUGCUUUUGAUACUGCCGCGCUUGAAUCACGGAGAGGGUAGUGGAAUUCCGAGUGUAGAGGUGAAAUUCGUAGAUAUUCGGAAGAACACCAGUGGCGAAGGCGACUACCUGGCCGUCGAUUGACGCUCAUGUGCGAAAGCGUGGGGAGCAAACAGG
rnacentral:rRNA from 1 species